rnacentral:lncRNA from 1 species
CUGGCUGGUGGCGCCACAAAGCCCCAAAGGCAGGUUUCAAAAGCAACUUCCUCAGGAAAAAAAAAUUAUAGCCGAAUCCAUAUCACAGUAGCCCCCCAGAAUAACAUCUUUGGGGACAGUUAGGAUAACCAGAAGUUUAUGUAAUUGCUAAUAUAAAAGUGGCUUCUCAGAUGGGAGAAACAGUGCUCAGAACUGGCAUCAGGUGGAACCGGGCACCCCAGAUGUGUCACAUCCCUCCAGGGGUUGGGGCAGUGGCUCCACUACUCACCAGCCCUGUGCCUGGACAAGUCUUGAUUUUCUCAUCUGAUAAAUGGGCACAUAAUAUACCUAUUCUUCUGGUUGUUAUAAGGAUUAAACUAAUUAACAAUGCAAAGCAUGCUGGACAAUAUAGGGAGAUCUAGUCUCUACCAAAAACAAAACAAAAAAAAAUUAUCCAGGUGCUAAGGCUCAUGCCUGUAGUCCCAACUACUCGGGAGGCUGAGGUGGGAGGAUCACCCAAGGCUGCUGCAAUG